rnacentral:lncRNA from 1 species
UGUUUAAGACACCCGGAGGAAGGAAUCUUUAAGAUAAAAUGUAAAUGAUGUUGAUGAAUUGAACCAUUUAGAACCGGUUCUCAACAGGAAAUGGUUCUCGAUUCCCAUUCCUACUCAAGGAUGUAUGUAGCUUGUCUUAGUUUAGGAUGCAUGAUGUUUUUGAAGUUAUUCAAUCACGUAUUUUCCUCUCAUCCUGCCUAUCUAUCAAACUCCCUUUCUGUCUAUGAACUUGCAGCUUUAGAAUGUCUUGGAAAAAAAUUUGUUCAAACCUUUGAAAUGUAUUAAAGUGCAUGAUGUUUUACUCCUUCUGCUUUCUGCAUGAUUUCUGACUGAGACAGAAAUAGGAGCUGUAGUCAUCUGUGAGAGGGGAUAUCAAAGCCUCAAUGACCUUUUUCCAGAUGAUUUUGGAUGGAAAAAUAAUUGAAGAAAUAUUCCACACUUAAAAAGAAACAGCAGGGAAAGACCCGAAACAUUGAAACAUCAAAGCUCAAAAUGCUGUCAAAAUUUACACCUGCAUUAAUUGUUACUGGCGGUACUUUGGCAGGCAGAAACUCACAGUGAAUCAAUUAAAUGGAGAGCUCCUCCUGAUGCGGUCUCAUGUAGCUGCAGAAAACUCAACAGCAUCUAUUACUUUUUUAUCUAGGGUGCAGUUUCUCAGGGACGUGAGCCGAAUGGAGCUUUUAUAGGCACACAUAACCAUGUUGUCAGCAUAACAAUGAAAAUUUAUAGUAAGUUAGUGAAAGCAAAAGCAGGUACAUUGAGAGUGAAAGGCCUGAAAGCUAAACCUCUCAGACCCUUAAAGGUGUAGCGUCGUGUCACCUGAAGGGGAUCAGUGGUGACAAAGGAAAUCCUGUAUGCGAAACUAGUGCCAAUCCAGAGCCAAUUUAGAAAGCCAUUCUUUAAGUCCAACAGUCUGAGCUUUAUUGUGAAACUGCAACAGACUGCUGUCCAGACUGGGAGGCAGAGAGCACAGGAACAUGGAUUAUAUUGGACGGUUGUUAUAAAAGUUUCAAAGAGAAGCAAUAAUGAAAGAUUAAAAUACUUCUUUCCAAAUGAGGAUUUCUUUAGUAGACAAAGCAAGGCACAUUAAAUCAAAUAUAACAAUGACCUGAAAAUCUUGUAUUCCUACUACCAUUGCAGCAGGCUUUCUUUGUUUUUUUUUUUGUUUUUUCUUCACAAUCCUUUGAUGAUAAAGUGAACAGAAACAGAACGGUGAGCAGCUUACUAAUUACCUUUUUUUCCUCCAAGGUCUCGGUGUUUGCCACUAUUCCUCUCAAAACAAAGGUGAAUAAGUCUUUCAUCCAGAAAUAUAUAUUUUUUUUAUCCGUUAAUCAGUACAAAUGAGAGCAGAAAUCUGCACCAAACAAGGACACAAGUACCACAAUGAAACCAUAACCUUGUACAUAUCUCAGGUAGGUCACAGCAUUUGGAUAUUGGAGGACAAACCAAAAAAAUUCCACCACUGGCAAAAUUUCUCCAAAUGAAUCAAAUCUUGGCCUCAAAGAACAGAAUUGGCAUUUAUACCCAUGUAGCAAAACUGUGACAGAGCACCUGCAGACUUUAAAGGGAAUGCUGCGUUACAAAAUAAGAAAAUUCGUCAUGGACAGCUCAUCAAUCAUUUCAUAAAGAUAAACUUACUUUUGUAGUCUUUAUUCAGGGAUUAUUUGGGGAGCAAUCUCUUUUUUUUUAAUAGGACAGCUUGAGAGACUUAGGGGGCUUUCACACCUAUGUUGUACGGUCCGGACUUUCAGACUUUUCUGUUUAGUCCGAACCCAAAUGACAAGUGCGAAACCUCCCCAGAACCUUGGUCUGGACCAAAAGAGGUGAUCUUGCUACUGACCAAACUGAACCACAGUCUGGUUCAUGCCCAGUGUGAAAGCAUUAUUUUGAAAGGUUCAGACCUUCGUACCAAAGAUAGGGAAUGGAGAUUGUCCGAUAACAGGAAAUUUUAUAAAACUGUAGGUAAGGUUAUACCUCACUAUUGACAGUUAAUCUUUUCAACACAUACUUUUCUCCCGAGCCAGUGUUGCAAUGACUUGCAGGAUUGCAUACUUUCUUUUCCUUUCCUGUCGAUGUCAAUAAAGUUGACACCAAGACCUUGGUUUGGACCUUGGUCUGGACUUUCAGGUGUGAAAACACCCUUAGGGAGGAUUGACAUGCACCAAACCAUGCCAGAAUCAGGACUCAAUCCUACCACCAACGCAGCAAGGACUGUGCACGUACUUGGAGCCCCUGCUUUGCCAAGUUGACUGGAUCCGUUCCCCUGAGGCAAAAACCUUUGUUACCACUGGCAUUCUUAGUACAACCUGCUGUGUGUGUACUCAUUAUAGUCAGCAUUAAAACCCACAGAAAAGCAAAGGCAUUCAAGUAAUACUUUAAGAUUUGAAAGUCCAUAAGUCCUCAACAAAAGAUAGAUCGACAGCAGAGGAUGGUUCUUCACAAUAAGCCGCGAAAGAAGUGGCUCUCACAGUCUAAUCUCUUUCUGACAUUUCAGCACUAAGUAAUUCAUAAUACUGGAUGACUCUUGGAGUUUAUCAGCCUCGCAUUUGUGCGCGCCUUUCAACAUCCUCUCUUAACAACUCGAGUGUUGUCAUCUAGCCACGGGAAGGAGAACAGUGCUUGAUUCAUUAUAAUUGUGUUUUGAUUCCAAAGUGGAUUAUCAGGAAUAAAGAAAUAAAUAAAUCAGCCAUUAAAUAAACAACCUUGUCAGCACCAUGAGGAAGGAGUGGAGUCGUUUUGCAUGUUAUUGUAGGAGAUGGAGGAGGAGUGAGGAAUGCUGUGUAAAGAAGAAAGCCUUAGAAGAUGCGUUCAGACCAAACGCGACCAGGUCGCGUCGCGUCGCGUUGGUCGGUCAGGUCGCGUCGCGUGGUGCUCUGGUGUGUUCACACCGGGUCCAAAGUUGCAGUCGCAGGUCGCGGCUGGUCGCCGGUGACGUCAUCCAUGUCACUAGCUCAGUUUUCAGUUCAUCAGUGCUGCCGCAUAGGCUAUCUGUGCAUCCGCAGUAGACGCCGCCGGCGUUUAUGGGUGCAUGAAACCAUCCGGAGGAGGACGGAGCUGGGUGAAUUUCACCGCUUGCUCCAGGAACUCCGCCUGGACGACGGCCGCAUCCAGCGGUAUUUCCGUGUGUCGACGGCGCAGUUCGAGGACCUCCUCGCCCAGGUGGGAAGCAGCAUCUCCCGCCUGGACACGAAAUACAGGCGCUCCAUCUCAGCUUCGGAGCGCCUGUCUAUCUGUCUGUCCCUCAUAUAAACGUCUCUAAGCCCCUUCCACCGCUUGCGGCACACAUCCACUGCAAAGACACACACACACACAUACGUUGAAACAUGUAGCCUAGCAAGCAGGGGCAGUUAGCUGGGUGGUAGCUAACGGAUGUGAUUAACUGCUCCUCCAUUGUGAUUCUUCUUCUCCUCUUCCUUGUUUCGCCGGUUUGUUGACGUCAGCAGAGCCCUGAUUGGCUGUCGCGGCACGAAGUCGCUCCCAAAGUUCAAAUAUUUGAACUUUGGGAGCGACGCGACUUGGCGUCCUGCGACCUCGGCGACGCGACCUCGGGGACGCGCCUUGGCGACCGGUCGCCCGGUCGCGCAUGGUCGCGUCGCAGGAAGCCGGCGGUCGCCAAGUCGCGUCAGGUCGCGGCUGGCCAUAGACUUUGCAUUGGGAGCCGUCGCCAAGUCGCGUCAGGUCGCGGCUGGUCUGAACGCGGCUUUAGAAGAUGAAGUUCAUGAACACUACUCAGUCUUCAUGAUUACAUCAUUAUCAGAGAUUCAGCAUAUUUAAUGAUAGUGGUGAAGACAAACCAUAAAGGAUUAUCUAGUCUGUAAAAUUGACAGAUUCAGGUUCAGAUCCACACACUUUCCUUUUUGUCCUGUAUCAAGCAAAUGAUGCUAUUUGUUUGUCGUUUUGUCAAGAACACAAAGAAAACUUCCUGUCAGUCCGUCAAAGAUCAUUGUUGGCUGGUAGCACAAAUUUCUGCCCUUGUGCUCACCUGGGAGACCACUGAGAAGCUCUUAACCUACCUGAGGUGUUUUUUUUUACUUUACAGAGAGUCUCAGGCAUUAACAGGACUGCUUAGUCAUGUUUUAUGUAAUACAUCUAUCAAUUUUGAUUAAGUGUAUAAGCGAGAAUUUCUUAGAUAGGGAUGUAAUUCAUGUAGCUUAAGACAAUCCAGCCUUGACUUGGUCUCUUUCCUCUCACAGGACUCAAAUCUUGUUCCCCUGGAUACAGUUUGUGCUGUAGUCUGAUCCAUAUAUCACCCCAUGACAUUAUCCCAUUGUACUGUGUGACUAUACUAAGUCACCCACUGGGGCACUGCCAGGGAUUUUUGGCCUCCUAAUAAAAAAUAUCACAAUAGACCCCACUUUACAACCGUAAACAUACAACACUGACUUCACUUUGACUGCAGUGGUAAUAAGAAAUCAGCAGAUUCUAAAUGAGUAUGUAUAUAACUAAUUGUACCACCUUUUUACCAAGGUUGGUAUCGUUCUGCUCGUGAUUCCCUGGUUGUCUAAACUCAUCAAGGCUUACACAAUGUUUUGUAGAAACCUGCUAUCAUUACUACAUUUGUUGAUAGUAAUAUUUAGCUAAAAGAUUAAAACCACUCGGACCCGGUGUCCGCACAUGCGCGGGUAAGACCGUGACAUGAGCCUCUCCCUCUCAUCUCCAGCCUCUAACUUCACAAGGACGAGAUGACAGAUUUUUUUUUAAACACUUUUUUAAACACGUUUUAAAGGCGCUACGGACAUGAGAGACUCCGGUAGAAAAGAGGAAACUGAAGAAGCCGUCAGGUAACUUCACCCCACUAUCAUACAUGAAAACAAAUCAGAACAUCCUCCUCGUUAACAUGAGAACAGUCUUACCUCACUACGAUGUAGAUAUACCCCUCCAGUUUCACGAUGGCAGGCAAAGUUUCCACAGGAACAGAAAAAAGACAAAAGUAAUCCAUUCUCGUCAUUUUCCGCGGCGAAAUUCGCCGGUAAACUUUGUUUUCAGUCUUUUUCUCCAUAAAGUUCCCCACAAGCUAACGAAACAAACAUUUCCUUCUGAUUGAACCACAAAAAUGUCAAUCAAGCUGACAGACAUUUCAGUCUGGCCAAUCAUAGCCCAAAGCUCA